GGUGACACCGUGUGUGUGUGUCCCCAUGUCCCCCCCCCCCCCGUGUCCCCGCAGGGCAUGGCGGAGCUGCACGUCAUCAGGCAGCUGGUGGGGGCCAGCGGCUUCCCCCAGCGCAGCCUCUUUUGCAAGUGGGGGCUGCACGCCGGUGAGGGGGGGGCACAGGGUGACAACAGGUGACAACAUCGACGUCCACUACGUCACCAAGGGCCUGCAAGGUGGUCGUGAUACUGGGGAAGGCUGACUUGCCCUAGAAAACCCCUCCAACCUGGAUGGACCUUCAUGCACAUCAUCGUUUGUGUGUCCAUUACUUCCAGAGUCUGUUGUUUCAGGGCACCUGAAAGGAAGGUGAGGUAGGCAAGGAGGGGUUCGCCUGCUGCCCCGAGCAGAUCUAAACUUCCAUCCCUUCGUCACUGAGAUGCACUCCUUCUGCCUGAUGGCCAGAGGGUAGGGGAUCCUCCAUUUCCUCUGCUGUGUCUGCCUGACGCAUCUGUCCCAGGGCUGGCACAGUACAGUUCAACCUUCUCCGACUCCCUGGUGCUCCUCAGCCUGCCCACCUCCUCCCGAAGCUCUGCCAGGAGGCUGAGCAGUUCUUCUACCUGGGCGCACCUACCACAGGUGGACUCACAGGAUGGGAUGUCAGGAAGAAUUUCUUCAUGCAAAGGGUGGAACCGGCUGCCCAGGGCACUGCUGGAGUCCCAGGCCUGGAGCUAUUAAAGAAAUGCGUGGACUUGGCGCUAAGGGCCGUGGUUUUGUGGUGGGCCUGGUGGUGUUAGCUGACGCUUGGACUUGAGCUGAAGGCCCUUUUCCAAGCGCAAGGGUUCUGUGACUCUUUCACUGGUUGAGUAGGCGCCAUGCAGUCACCGGGCCCAGGGAAAAGACGUCCUUGGUGGCCUCCAAGUUAGCUCAGCGUCAUGGCACCGAGUCACUGUGAAGGAGCUGCUGGAAUAACGAGACAACAACCUAGUUCUAUUAAAAUAUAUAUUGCUCUUUUGAGGACUGCUGCGGGGCUAGCAGCAGCGGCAACACGGCAGUGGAAAUCUCCGUCCUGACGUUGCGGUAUGCCUUGACGUCAGAUUCACGGUGGUUUCAACUGCCAGGGAACGGACCAUGGGUUCCGGGUCUUUCUCUGAAGGCUGGAGGACUGCAAAAGAAAGAAGAGCAGAGAUGAAAACCCACUCCUUGCAGAGAUCCCCAGGCAUCCCCUGCAGAGCAUGCCAGCCCCACUCGACUCUUCCCCAGGCCAGGAGGAGCAGGAGGGACAAAGGAAUCCGUUGAAAGCUGCUGCUCAGCAAUGUCCCAAAUGCAGCCACCAGUCCUUCCCCACCUGCGCACCACAGGUCAAGUGGGGCACCUUCACAAGCUGGUUCCCUCACCACCUGCCUCCAUCCCUUGGGAGGAUUCACACACUCCAGGAAUCUCCUGGACUCUUUCCUCUCGCUAUUGUGCUUCCCCAUGAGAGCAAGGGCUAGCAAUCGUGACCCUGCUCCUAGCUGCUUGUAGGCUGUCUCAUCUCCCUCUUCGUCCUGGUUGCGUGCUCUACAACAGGCUCCCACCUUCUGUCAGCCUUACUGCCCUUUCCCCUGACUCUUCCUCAGGGACACUCAACCCUUUCAGCGGCACUGCCCAGCUCCAGGCUGGGAGGCCAUUCCCU